rnacentral:sRNA from 1 species
GCUGGGCACAGGGGUGCAUGCCUGUAAUCCCAGAGGCUUGGGAGGCUGAGGCAGGAGGAUCACGAGUUCAAAGCCAGCUUCAGCAAAAGCGGGGAGUUAAGCAACUCAGUGAGACCCUAUCUCUA